GGGCCGGUGGUCUAGGGGUCAUGACGUCGCCCUUACAAGGCGAAGUUCGGCGGUUCAAAUCCGCCUCGGCCCA
rnacentral:tRNA from 1 species